GCAAGUCGAGCGCGCCCUUCGGGGUGAGCGGCGGACGGGUGAGUAACGCGUGGGAAUAUGCCCAGUAGUGGGGGAUAACGUGUGGAAACGCACGCUAAUACCGCAUACGUCCUACGGGAGAAAGCAGGGGAUCUUCGGACCUUGCGCUAUUGGAUGAGCCCAAGUCAGAUUAGCUAGUUGGUGAGGUAAUGGCUCACCAAGGCGACGAUCCGUAGCUGGUCUGAGAGGACGAUC
rnacentral:rRNA from 1 species